UCAAAAUAGGAUAGAGCUCGUCGAAACAAAAAUUUUGAUACCAAUUUCGAAAAUUUGGCCCAAAAACAGACCGGAAAGGCCAAACCGGUUGAACCGGGGCCCAAACCGGGCCCGUGGGUUCAACCGGACCCAAACACUUAAAUGAGGCAGCAGCUCUUUUCUUCCUCAUAAGCUGCUGCGACGCCAUUACAGCAAGGGAGGGAGAGGAGAUUCACAAACCCUCACCAUUCCUUCCAACUACCAUAACUUCCUCAUCCGGGCUCCGAUCGCCGCACCGUUUGCGGCCACGCGUCGGGCUCGUCGAGCUCUUCAAUUCUAUCCAAACAAAACAGGGUCCACUAGACUUGAUUUCUUGUGGGUAUUGCCCAAGGAUCAGUGGGUAAAGGUAGUGUGUAUGUGAAUGUUGAUGCUUGUUGGAGGCUUGUUGGUGAUCAAGCUUGGUUUGGGGCUGUUUGUUUGAGUUUGGAGGGGCUGUAAUUUUGAGUUGUGAGGCUGCCUUGGGUGAACUAAGUGAUCGGCCAAGGUAUGGUUUAAGUUUCGCACGUUUAAUAUUUACGGUGUUGUGAAAACUUAGGUUAGAGGAACCAUAGGAUAAGUUGAACUGUUAAUUGCAUUUAAUGAGUAGUUUGUAAUGUUGUUGGAGUAAAUUGUUGAUGAACAUAGAUUGGAAUUUUGAGGUAUUGAUGUUAUUAAUUUCAUGCUUUUGGACUUGCUUAUAAUGGGUUAUAUUGAAGUUGAUAUUGAUGAAUUAUGGUUGGUGAUUGUUAAUAAAUGGUUGUUAUGUCAAGUUGAUGGAUUAACAUGUAUGAAGAAUUGACUUAUGUUAAUGGCAUUUAAUUAGUAUAUGUUGAUGGAAGGUUGAUAAAUAUAUGAUGAGAAUUGGUAUAGGUGAAGAAUUGAUGUGAACAAAGGAAAAGUUAUUGAUGUAUGAGGUAAAAGUGGAUAAUUUUGAUGUUCUAGGUUGGUUGAGUUGAUUAAAGCUUAUAUUGGUAAUGGUUGUUGAUGAAUUGAGUUGAUAUGGUUUUACAAUGCAAGUUUUAAAUGGUAAGAAACUUAAGUUGGAGAAAAAGAGGUUUUGUUGAAAGUGGUUAAAACCAAAUUUUGAUUAACUUUGGACGUCCAUAAUAUUCUCCUCAAAUUUUGGAUUGGGUUGUGGUUUGUUGCAAAUAAAAGAUAGUUUCAAGAGCUUUUGAUUGAUAUCAACUCUGUGAAAAACGGAAUUUUGUGGAGAAAGUUAUGGACGUUGCAAGUUUAGUGUUUAAAUCUGAGUUCAGGGUGACCAAACCGGUUUUGAAUGUUUUUAAACAAAUUUUCCACUUCUAAACCUCCAUUUUCUUCCUUUUAAGGCUUAAAGCAUGGUUCUAGGUCCAGUAGGUAAAAGAAGCUAGGAAAAUAAGAUAACUUGAAGGUGAAGAAAGUUGUAAAUAGUGGCUUUUAUGAAGAAAAUAAGGAUGUUAAUGAAGUUUAAUGUUAAGGUUUGAUACUUGAUGAUGUAUUGAUGAUAAUUGCCAUGGCUUAUGAAUAAUGAUACCUGAGAUACGAGUUUCCCUGGGUAAGAACUGUGGCUCGCCACCACGUGUUCCAGGUUGAAUCUCGAUACUCUGUUGACCCUACGUCGUAAGGGUGA